UACGGAGGAUCCAAGCGUUAUCCGGAUUUAUUGGGUUUAAAGGGUGCGUAGGCGGAAGAUUAAGUCGGUGGUGAAAUUUUGCAGCUCAACUGUAAAAGUGCCAUUGAUACUGGUUUUCUUGAGUAUGGAUGAAGUAGGCGGAAUUUGUGGUGUAGCGGUGAAAUGCAUAGAUAUCACGAGGAACUCCGAUUGCGCAGGCAGCUUACUAAACCAUAACUGACGCUCAGGCACGAAGGCGUGGGGAUCAAACAGGAUUAGAUACCCU
rnacentral:rRNA from 1 species